rnacentral:tRNA from 1 species
GUCUAUGUAAUUUAAUUAAAAUACUGGUCUUGUAAACCAGUUAUAGGUCCCCCCCUCUUAGACU